UUAAGCGACUAAGCGUACACGGUGGAUGCCCUGGCAGUCAGAGGCGAUGAAGGACGUGCUAAUCUGCGAAAAGCGUCGGUAAGGUGAUAUGAACCGUUAUAGCCGGCGAUGUCCGAAUGGGGAAACCCAGUGCAAUUCGUUGCACUAUCGUUAACUGAAUACAUAGGUUAACGAGGCGAACCGGGGGAACUGAAACAUCUAAGUACCCCGAGGAAAAGAAAUCAACCGAGAUUCCCCCAGUAGCGGCGAGCGAACGGGGAGCAGCCCGGAGUCUGAAUCAGCUUGUGUGUUAGUGGAAGCGUCUGGAAAGUCGCAGGGUACAGGGUGAUACUCCCGUACACUAAAACACACAGGCUGUGAACUCGAAGAGUAGGGCGGGACACGUGGUAUCCUGUCUGAAUAUGGGGGGACCAUCCUCCAAGGCUAAAUACUCCUGACUGACCGAUAGUGAACCAGUACCGUGAGGGAAAGGCGAAAAGAACCCCGGCGAGGGGAGUGAAAAAGAACCUGAAACCGUGUACGUACAAGCAGUAGGAGCCCACUAGUUGGGUGACUGCGUACCUUUUGUAUAAUGGGUCAGCGACUUAUAUUCUGUAGCAAGGUUAACCGAAUAGGGGAGCCGCAGGGAAACCGAGUCUUAACUGGGCGUUAAGUUGCAGGGUAUAGACCCGAAACCCGGUGAUCUAGCCAUGGGCAGGUUGAAGGUUGGGUAACACUAACUGGAGGACCGAACCGACUAAUGUUGAAAAAUUAGCGGAUGACUUGUGGCUGGGGGUGAAAGGCCAAUCAAACCGGGAGAUAGCUGGUUCUCCCCGAAAGCUAUUUAGGUAGCGCCUCGUGAACUCAUCUUCGGGGGUAGAGCACUGUUUCGGCUAGGGGGUCAUCCCGACUUACCAACCCGAUGCAAACUACGAAUACCGAAGAAUGUUAUCACGGGAGACACACGGCGGGUGCUAACGUCCGUCGUGAAGAGGGAAACAACCCAGACCGCCAGCUAAGGUCCCAAAGUCAUGGUUAAGUGGGAAACGAUGUGGGAAGGCCCAGACAGCCAGGAUGUUGGCUUAGAAGCAGCCAUCAUUUAAAGAAAGCGUAAUAGCUCACUGGUCGAGUCGGCCUGCGCGGAAGAUGUAACGGGGCUAAACCAUGCACCGAAGCUGCGGCAGCGACGCUUAUGCGUUGUUGGGUAGGGGAGCGUUCUGUAAGCCGUUGAAGGUGGCCUGUGAGGGUUGCUGGAGGUAUCAGAAGUGCGAAUGCUGACAUAAGUAACGAUAAUGCGGGUGAAAAACCCGCACGCCGGAAGACCAAGGGUUCCUGUCCAACGUUAAUCGGGGCAGGGUGAGUCGACCCCUAAGGCGAGGCCGAAAGGCGUAGUCGAUGGGAAACAGGUUAAUAUUCCUGUACUUGGUGUUACUGCGAAGGGGGGACGGAGAAGGCUAUGUUGGCCGGGCGACGGUUGUCCCGGUUUAAGCAUGUAGGCGGAUGUUCCAGGUAAAUCCGGAACGUUAUUAACGCUGAGGUGUGAUGACGAGGCACUACGGUGCUGAAGUGACAAAUGCCCUGCUUCCAGGAAAAGCCUCUAAGCAUCAGGUAACAUCAAAUCGUACCCCAAACCGACACAGGUGGUCAGGUAGAGAAUACCAAGGCGCUUGAGAGAACUCGGGUGAAGGAACUAGGCAAAAUGGUGCCGUAACUUCGGGAGAAGGCACGCUGAUGGUAAGUGAAGUGACUUGCUCAUGGAGCUGAAAUCAGUCGAAGAUACCAGCUGGCUGCAACUGUUUAUUAAAAACACAGCACUGUGCAAACACGAAAGUGGACGUAUACGGUGUGACGCCUGCCCGGUGCCGGAAGGUUAAUUGAUGGGGUUAUCCUCGCGGAGAAGCUCUUGAUCGAAGCCCCGGUAAACGGCGGCCGUAACUAUAACGGUCCUAAGGUAGCGAAAUUCCUUGUCGGGUAAGUUCCGACCUGCACGAAUGGCGUAAUGAUGGCCAGGCUGUCUCCACCCGAGACUCAGUGAAAUUGAACUCGCUGUGAAGAUGCAGUGUACCCGCGGCAAGACGGAAAGACCCCGUGAACCUUUACUAUAGCUUGACACUGAACACUGGUCCUUGAUGUGUAGGAUAGGUGGGAGGCUUUGAAGUGUGGACGCCAGUCUGCAUGGAGCCGUCCUUGAAAUACCACCCUUUAAUGGCUGGUGUUCUAACGUNGGGUUGCGGACAGUGUCUGGUGGGUAGUUUGACUGGGGCGGUCUCCUCCUAAAGAGUAACGGAGGAGCACGAAGGUCAGCUAAUCCUGGUCGGACAUCAGGAGGUUAGUGCAAUGGCAUAAGCUGGCUUGACUGCGAGCGUGACGGCGCGAGCAGGUGCGAAAGCAGGUCAUAGUGAUCCGGUGGUUCUGAAUGGAAGGGCCAUCGCUCAACGGAUAAAAGGUACUCCGGGGAUAACAGGCUGAUACCGCCCAAGAGUUCAUAUCGACGGCGGUGUUUGGCACCUCGAUGUCGGCUCAUCACAUCCUGGGGCUGAAGUAGGUCCCAAGGGUAUGGCUGUUCGCCAUUUAAAGUGGUACGCGAGCUGGGUUUAGAACGUCGUGAGACAGUUCGGUCCCUAUCUGCCGUGGGCGCUGGAGAAUUGAGGGGGGCUGCUCCUAGUACGAGAGGACCGGAGUGGACGCAUCACUGGUGUUCGGGUUGUCAUGCCAAUGGCAUUGCCCGGUAGCUAAAUGCGGAAGAGAUAAGUGCUGAAAGCAUCUAAGCACGAAACUUGCCCCGAGAUGAGUUCUCCCUGACCCUUUAAGGGUCCUGAAGGAACGUUGAAGACGACGACGUUGAUAGGCCGGGUGUGUAAGCGCAGCGAUGCGUUGAGCUAACCGGUACUAAUGAACCGUGAGGCUUAACCUU
rnacentral:rRNA from 1 species